GAUGAACGCUGGCGGCGUGCCUAAUACAUGCAAGUCGAGCGAACGGACGAGAAGCUUGCUUCUCUGAUGUUAGCGGCGGACGGGUGAGUAACACGUGGAUAACCUACCUAUAAGACUGGGAUAACUUCGGGAAACCGGAGCUAAUACCGGAUAAUAUUAUGAACCGCAUGGUUCAAAAGUGAAAGACGGUCUUGCUGUCACUUAUAGAUGGAUCCGCGCUGCAUUAGCUAGUUGGUAAGGUAACGGCUUACCAAGGCAACGAUGCAUAGCCGACCUGAGAGGGUGAUCGGCCACACUGGAACUGAGACACGGUCCAGACUCCUACGGGAGGCAGCAGUAGGGAAUCUUCCGCAAUGGGCGAAAGCCUGACGGAGCAACGCCGCGUGAGUGAUGAAGGUCUUCGGAUCGUAAAACUCUGUUAUUAGGGAAGAACAUAUGUGUAAGUAACUGUGCACAUCUUGACGGUACCUAAUCAGAAAGCCACGGCUAACUACGCG
rnacentral:rRNA from 1 species